AGCAGUAGCCGCGGUAAUACGGAGGGUGCAAGCGUUAAUCGGAAUUACUGGGCGUAAAGCGCACGCAGGCGGUCUGUCAAGUCAGAUGUGAAAUCCCCGGGCUUAACCUGGGAACUGCAUUUGAAACUGGCAGGCUAGAGUCUUGUAGAGGGGGGUAGAAUUCCAGGUGUAGCGGUGAAAUGCGUAGAGAUCUGGAGGAAUACCGGUGGCGAAGGCGGCCCCCUGGACAAAGACUGACGCUCAGGUGCGAAAGCGUGGGGAGCAAACAGGAUUAGAUACCCGGGUAGUCCCUGUCUCUUAUAA
rnacentral:rRNA from 1 species